ACAACCCUGAAUGCGUCCAAUUUUGUUAGACCUUGGAAGUUAAGCAGGGAUGGGACUGGUUAGUACUUGGAUGGGAUAUGGCAAUCGGUGA
rnacentral:rRNA from 1 species